rnacentral:sRNA from 1 species
AGCCCUAGAGCCCUUCCCUCCCUCCCUGUUCAGCGCAAGCUGGGAGGAAAUAAUAGCCUGUCCGGGGAGGGGCCCGCAGUUAGCCCAUCUUAAGUACGGAUAGCCACCGCGAAUACAGAUUUAGAGGUGCACCUGGGAAAUUUCACCCAUGCCGAGUUUGGCUAACGGGCUCCCCACGGAUUAUCCAGGCACUUGGAUAUCUACAAAGGAGAGCCUGAGACAACAGAAAAGAAUCGAGGGGAGGUUUUGUAAGAGGGUAGGGAGUCAUGCCUAUUGUGGAAUGUAGGCGUAUCAAUUGUUACUUUUGAUUGCUUUAAUUUAGAUAC